rnacentral:rRNA from 1 species
UACGUAGGGUGCGAGCGUUGUCCGGAAUUAUUGGGCGUAAAGGGCUCGUAGGCGGUCUGUCGCGUCGGGAGUGAAAACUCAGGGCUUAACCCUGAGCCUGCUUUCGAUACGGGCAGACUGGAGGUAUGCAGGGGAGAACGGAAUUCCUGGUGUAGCGGUGAAAUGCGCAGAUAUCAGGAGGAACACCGGUGGCGAAGGCGGUUCUCUGGGCAUGUCCUGACGCUGAGGAGCGAAAGUGUGGGGAGCGAACAGG